CAAAAUGUAUAGUAUUAAAUAUCCAUCAUGGCUGAUCUCACCAAUUGGUUUCAUGUAAAGAAUACAAUGGAGUGUUAGGUAACAAUCCGAUUAUAUAACUUUACGCUCAUCAGAGUUGGCCGAUAUGGAAGGGAAUCUGGCAACACACACACAUAA